rnacentral:lncRNA from 1 species
CUUUCCACAUGAUCUGGACUUCAAAUUCGAUUCAAAGGAAAGAAAAAAAAAAAAGCGGUGGGUAAAAGUGCUUGUAAGACUGAAAGUUAUAAUGACAUGCUUUAACCCGUCUUUGAUUUGUGUUUUACAUUGUUGAAUGACGACUGACUUGGAAAGAGGAGUUUAUAUCUUUAUUGCUGAUUUAACCUUCAUUACAUCGCUGUUAUAAUAUAAAGAAAGCCUCAUUUGCUCUUCAGAUUAGAUCAGCUCUUCAGAUCUUUUCUUCCACGAAAGCUGGAAACUAACUGCAAAAUGGAUUAAAGCUUAAAUCCAAUUAAGAAUUUUCAUGGAACAAAGGUUGAUUGCUCAAAUUACACAAUAAACAGUGAAGGAAACGUGAACAACUGGGAUACAGUUUUAAUCUUCUCAGCCCAAUUGGCCAUGUUUUUGCCACAUAUAGAAGAAUAUCUGCAGGUAUGUGAAAUAGAGACAAUUGCAUAUUUUGUGUCAUUAAUGGUAGUUGGCCAGAUGGUUUCUGAGAGGAGACCUUGA